CAAACAAAAAUAGCACAUUAAUUACUUCUCACAAACGGAGGAGGUAGCCAAUUAAGAGGAAACAUUUAUGGUUCAGUGACCGAGAGACCGGAUAGGUUUACAAAAUGAUAGCCAAUAGAUAUAUGUCCUACAAAUCAUGCGUCUUACAUUACACAGAAUAUCCACUUGACUGAGACACCAUAUAUGAUAGCUAAUAGACACAUGUCCAGCGAUUCAUAGUCCUCUCCAUUACACAGUUAACGCAAACUGCGAGCUUCAUGGUUCCUGGUCAUCUUGUAUGUCUUUCCUACAAAGAAUCAAGGCAAUGGGAAAGUUUCAGCUUAUAUUCCUAACGAGGGAAAGCUCCUGGUUCAACAAUUAGUGUCCAAUCUUAAACCCACAUACACCUAAAUAUAGCAGCAACAACAGAAUAGGAAAAUUGAUUCACCUCAUACAUUUCCCUGCACU
rnacentral:lncRNA from 1 species